GAAAGAGAGACAGAGAGAGAUGAACUUUAAGCUCUUGAGAAAUAAGUACUUCUAAUUGGUUUGAAUUGAAAAAGCAUCAACAGAGAGAGAGAGAGAGAGAGAGAGAGGGAGAGAGAGAGAGAGAGAGAGAGAGAGAGAACGGUGGGAGUGAUGAAAAACGUCGGAAGAAAAGGAGAGUUUGAUGAAAAGUUCAAAGUUUGACUUAAAGAGGAAGACGAGUCGUUCAAGAGCAGAGAAGAGAGUGGGAAAACAGAGUGAUGAAGACAGACGACAGAGAGAGAGAGAGAGAGAGGUAAAGACUGAAGUGAUGGAUGGAUGAAACAAUGAAAAGAGAGACUGAGCACAAGAGCUAGAAAGAACUAUGAGUUCUGGUUGCCGUUGGUUACAGGUUGUUGUUGUUGUUUCUGGUUGCCGUUGGUUACAGGUUGUUGUUGUUGUUUCUGGUUGCUGUUGGUUACAGGUUCUUUAAGUCCCCUGUCAUAAGUCUAGUUUCCUGUUUUCCUCCCUUAGGUCUGGUUGCCAUUGGUUACAGAUUGUUGUUGUUCCUGGUUGCCGUUGGUAACAAAUUGUUGUUGUAGUUUCUGGUUAUUAGUCCAGUUUCCUGUUUUCCUCUGUCAGUCCUGGUUGCCAUUGGUUACAGAUUGUUGUUGUUGUUUCUGGUUGUCGUUGGUUACAGAUUGUUGUUGUUAUUUCUGGUUAUUAGUCCAGUUUUCUGUUUUCCUCUGUCAGUCCUGGUUGCCGUUGGUUACAGGUUGUUGUCGUAGUUCCUGGUCAUUAGUCCGGUUUCCUGCGUUCAUCCUUCAGGUCUGAUUGCCGUCGUUGGUGGCGUUGCCGUACCUCGCCGUCUCUGUGACAUUUCCUCUUUUAUUUAUUUCUGUCUGUUAUUAUUUCGUCCACACGGCGCCGCAGAGGUAAAAACACGCCGCGCUCGUAUGCAGACUGUGUUAGCUUCACAUCGAGGCGUGACAUUUCACAAAUGUAAAAUAAAUUGAUAUGGCCCAAUUAGAUUGAAGCCACCGCCGUCCUCCCCCGUCUCCCUCAGCCUCUCGCCUCGUCCCAAAUUGCUUUGCAUUUUGCCCGCUCGCGUUCGGAGCUCUUAAUUAUAUGGUGUUGUGUGGCGGCAUUUGGCUGGAACAGCGAGGAGCCGCUGAGAGCUGCAGCGUGGCGGUUAGCCGGCGCGGCUAGGACGCGGCUAAAAGCUUAUCCCGGCGGGGGAGAGGAGGGAGGACGGAGGAGAGGAAGACGGCCCGCGCACGGGAGAACAAAGAGGAAGGCCUCAGCUGGACGGCUGGAGGAGGAUGAGGAGGCGCGCGGCGGGAGGAAGAGGAGGAAGUUAGAGCUGCAGAGUGUGUUUGUGUUGAUACUCGUGUACUUAUGAGGACCAGGUGACCUCACAGAGACGGUAAAACAACGUUAGAGGGAGGAGAAAACAAAGGUGGACUCAGACAAGAGGAGGAAGAGGAGAAGGAGAAGGAAGAGGAGGAUCCUGAACGCACCGUUGUCAUCAUUGUCUGGAUGGACGCAGAUGUUGCUCCUAAACCUGUAGAUAUUGUUUAAAACUGAGGAUGCAGCAUCUAUGAUUUACAGUUCUUUGUUUAAAGGACGACUGGACUUGAGGCGAAACGUCUCAACUAAGUCCAGUUGUCCUUUCAAAAUAAAGUCCCAGUCAUGUUACAAACCCGACCCAGGUUAACCUCAUUAACUUCCUGCGGUCCUUUUCAAAACAUCAACAUAGAAAACAAAUACACAAUUAGUGUGUCAGCGUCGUUGUCGUUAGUAACAGCUAAAAUCUGAUCAGUUUAAAAAACACUGAAUCAUGAGAGCGCACUGAAAUAAACAACAAUUACCACCGACAGGAUUUAAUCGAAAAAACAACAACAGCUUAGACAACCACGUCACGGAGAACGGAAACACAAACAACAACAGAGAGGAGAAGACUUAGAAGAACAUUUAUGAUCAUUUCUUCAUGGAAAUACAAUCAGACCGAGACGCUAAGACAGAAGAACUACCGCGUCUGUAAAAUGAUUAAUAUGGUGAUUAUUACUUCAAGGAAAUGAUAAAGAAAUGAUCAUAAAUGUUCUUCCUUGAGCUGCGGCACCCCGCUGUAGUCCGUAAUGGACUGGCCUGAGGUCUCACUACAAACAAGCGUCUGCUGGAAGAGAGUAGGUGAGUUGUGUUUAGUCUCUUUGUUAAAGAAAUGAUUCAAAGUUAAAAAGAUGUUUGGUGUCUAGUACUAUGUCUGUGACCCUAUAUGUACUAACCUCAGUAGAACAUGGUGUAGUUCCGUUCAGUAACAGAACCUCAUUGGAAAAUUAGCUGAUUUAACUUUACUGUGCUCUUGUUCAAAUAUAUUAACUCAACAGCACAUAAAUCCAUACCUGUUAACAAAAUCAUGAUUUUAUUGAUAAUUCGGCUCAAUAAAAACACCUUUACCUUUUCAUUUUACUACAGUAGAAGUUUAUUGGCCCAGCUUACAGACUACAGAAGUGGAGAAACGCCC